rnacentral:rRNA from 1 species
UACGUAGGGGGCAAGCGUUUGUCCGGAUUUAUUGGGCGUAAAGAGCGUGUAGGCGGCCUGGAAGGUCCGUUGUGAAAACUCGAGGCUUAACCUCGAGACGUCGACGGAAACCGUCAGGCUAGAGUCCGGAAGAGGAGAGUGGAAUUCCUGGUGUAGCGGUGAAAUGCGCAGAUAUCAGGAAGAACACCCGUGGCGAAGGCGGCUCUCUGGGACGGUACUGACGCUGAAGACGCGAAAGCGUGGGGAGCGAACAGG